UACGUAGGGGGCGAGCGUUGUCCGGAUUUAUUGGGCGUAAAUAGCGUGUAGGCGGCCAGGUAGGUCAGCUGUGAAAACUCGAGGCUCAACCUCGAGAUGUCGGCUGAAACCAUCUGGCUAGAGUCCGGAAGAGGAGAAUGGAAUUCCCGGUGUAGCGGUGAAAUGCGCAGAUAUCGGGAAGAACACCCGUGGCGAAGGCGGUUCUCUGGGACGGUACUGACGCUGAGACGCGAAAGCGUGGGGAGCGAACAGG
rnacentral:rRNA from 1 species